rnacentral:misc_RNA from 1 species
UUUCCGUAGGUGAACCUGCGGAAGGAUCAUUACAGAGUUCAUGCCCUCACGGGUAGAUCUCCCACCCUUGAAUAUUUAUACCUUAGUUGCUUUGGCAGGCCGUGGAGACACUAUGGGCUCCGGCUUAUGCGUGCCUGCCAGAGGAAACAAACUCUGUUUUUAGUGAUGUCUGAGUACUAUAUAAUAGUUAAAACUUUCAACAACGGAUCUCUUGGUUCUG